CCCGCUGAACUUAAGCAUAUCAAUAAGCGGAGGAAAAGAAACUAACAAGGAUUCCCCUAGUAACUGCGAGUGAAGCGGGAAAAGCUCAAAUUUAAAAUCUGGCGGUCUUUGGCCGUCCGAGUUGUAAUCUAGAGAAGUAAUGCCCGUGCUGGACCGUGUAUAAGUCUCCUGGGAUGGGGCGUCAUAGAGGGUGAGAAUCCCGUCUUUGACACGGACUACCAGUGCAUUGUGGUAUGCUCUCAAAGAGUCGAGUUGUUUGGGAAUGCAGCUCAAAAUGGGUGGUAAAUUCCAUCUAAAGCUAAAUAUUGGCGAGAGACCGAUAGCGAACAAGUACCGUGAGGGAAAGAUGAAAAGAACUUUGGAAAGAGAGUUAAACAGUACGUGAAAUUGCUGAAAGGGAAACGCUUGAAGUCAGUCGCGUUGGCCAGGGAUCAGCCUUGCUUUUGCAUGGUGUACUUUCUGGUUGACGGGUCAGCAUCAAUUUUGACCGCUGGAAAAGGGCCUGGGGAAUGUGGCAGCUUCGGCUGUGUUAUAGCCCCUGGUCACAUACGGCGGUUGGGAUUGAGGAACUCAGCACGCCGCAAGGCCGGGUUUCGACCACGUUCGUGCUUAGGAUGCUGGCAUAAUGGCUUUAAGCGACCCGUCUUGAAACACGG
rnacentral:rRNA from 1 species